AAACCUCUGCUGUCACUCCUCGGCCAUGUGGACUCUGGUCAUGUCUUCUCACCAAGGCCUUUUCUUCCAGACGUCUAGUAAACCACGAUGGGGGGGGCAUUCUGGCUCACACCACAGUUACCAGCAGUGAGAAGAUAGGAGUGGUUUAUUGAUAAUGGCACUAUUGUUUUGAUCAAUAUAAUAAGCUGAAAGGAACAUAUUCCUCAGUGGGGGUUGAGCAUGUUGUUUUGGAGUUGUCAAGGAAACAUGAAAAAUCUGGUCGAUACUCCUGUUUUUGAGAGUUGUCAUUAAUGUUGGAUUUUGUGGUACAUUCACGGAAAUGUUUAAAGGCAUUGGUGUCCCGUUACAGAAAACUAAUGCCCAACCUUUAAAGAUUCAGUGAACCCAAAACCAUUUUUCUUUUGCCAAAGUGAUUUGUUAGCCUGGUCCUACCAGACUCUCGUACUUCAUUUCAUUUGCACAGAGAGUCUGGACUCACUCAAUUGACGAACGUUAACUCACUUGAAGGCGGAUGUCUGUUGAAGUUUAAAACUAUUGGAUCUGCCCAGUGCCACUCUGGAUCCAUUACCAUCGCUAACGUUUGGCCGGGAAUUACGUUGCGUGCAUGCUGUAAACAAACCAGGCAGCGGUGGACUGCGAUGUCCGUGAGAAAGUUGAGCUUUUUGGACACUUGCAGUAUAACGCCACGAUGUGUGUGGGAUGGUGACGCUCCAUCUGAGCGGCGACGUGUUUAAUGUCCAAUUCCGAUUGAGGGAUGGCUUUCCGGACACCUGUAGUACAACGCAAAGGUGUGUGGUGGAUUUCAUACAACAUCGCUUGUUAUAACGCUCAUAGACAGGCAGUGUUUCCCAUACAUCUGUAGUCUGUACGCCACACAUUGUAGACAAUGUGUGGCGUAGUCCCACAGAAUCAACACCGAGCUCCACAAAAAAACAUGGAGGAGAGUGAAAGUGACAAUUCUGAAUAGGAGAAGGACUAACACGACCAGCCAUGACAAAGUGAGCUCGUACCUAAAAGAGGGGCUACGAAAUAGUCCUUUCCAUGUGGUCACUUUAUAUAAACUACCGUAAUUUUCGGACUAUAAGACGCGCCUUUUUUUUCUUAUUUUUCGAUUCUGCGGCUUGUAUAACGGUGCGGUAGAGGACAGCUGAUUUGGAACGGAACAACAGCUGUUCGCUUUCACGGGGAAAGACUAAGGAACUUCAACCUACUUAGGCCUACUAAUUAACCUUCAAAAGCUAUUAAAUCUUCAGCAAAAUAUGCAGAUACUGUCAAAAUCGGUUCCAGGGAGUAUAUAGGGAAAAUACGGUAUUUAUUCAUUGAAUUUACAGAAAAUGUGCUAUAUCGUGAUAUAUAUCGUUAUCGGGAUAUGAAUGACCUAUAUCGGGAUAUGAUAUUUUGGUCAUAUCGCCCAGCCCUAUUCUGUUCACAUUCAUCUCAUCAUAGCACUCUUUCUCCCUGACAUUCUCGUUUACACGCAUACGAACACGCACACAGAGACAAGCGCGCAUUCAUGCAAGUGGUGCGCGGGUACACUUAUAAACAGCUGAUUCGGCCUCUCCUCCUCUCAACGCGCAUAUCAAAGGAAACCCUGCAGUAGCGGGAUAUUUGGGCCAGAGAAGACGGUCCGUUUCAACAAAGUUUAGUAUGAUAUGCUGUGCUCAAAGACACCUGCCCAGAAUAUUGUUAACUCAGAAUAGAUAAUGUUAGCCCUUGUGAACUCAACGUUAUUGAUAUUGAAUAUCCUGCACUAUAAGUCAGCUUAGAUAACGUUGAUAACCCAGCAAACGAUGCGAUUAAUAUGAAAUGCGGUUAUAGUUGAGAUGGGCUACGGUAUUAGACUGGGUACCCCCAGCCCGUUCUGCCGGGGAUUUGAAUUCGCUCUGCAGCAGGGGCUGGAGGACAUUACAUUUCUUUCUGUUUCCGAUCCGCUUUUAAUGGAGCCAAUCUCCAAGCUGGUGGCUGAUCAUGCAAAGCUAGGUUUGGGCAGAACCGCAGGCUACACUGUCAGCCUAGUCAGCAUGUCAUCUUGCGUCUUCAUGUCUUGCACGGACUGGAGCUCGUAACUCUUUAUCUCCUAGGAAAACCAAACUCGGUACACCAUUGCACAUUUAGAACUCGUGACUGGCUGAACCGAAUAUGGAGGUAAGUAGCACCCAGUGGUUACGGCCAGUGGUGGACAAGGUACUCGGACCACGUACUUGAGUAAAAGUUGUGAUACCUAGUGUAAAAUAUUACUCCAGCAAAAAGUGGAAGUACUCCCUUUAAACGUCGACUUGAGUAAAAGUAUAAACGUACUUGGCUUCAAAUGUACUUAAGUAUCAAAAGUAAAAGUAAUUUGGUGUAAUGUAGUUCCAAUGUCUUGCUAUGUCCUUAAUGCACUAAGUCCAAUCAAUUAAAGUUAAGAAAAUCAAACACUAACAACACUCUAAAUACAAUGUGUUCUAUUUGUGAUAACAGGUACUGAUAUCAUUUGAAAUUAUCAUAAGCACAAUAUACUAAACGGAAAAAAAUUGGUUAGGAAUAAACAGGAUGGGGGAAAAAAACAUUAGACACGUAUUUCUUUAACAAUCUAUUGUUAACUUGCAAAAACAGACUCCUUACAUGACUGUAUAACCUACCUAAAACUAAAAAUAUUGUUUUAGUUGGAGAAGGAGCUGAUUUUCAAAAUUUCUGGCGUCCAACCUUGCCCUUCGUUGGUUGAAAAUCAGUCCAGCAGUGCUAAAGAGGAGUUCGCACGCAGCAGAGGCUGGUAAGGCAGUGUUGAUUUUAAGAGACAAUUUGCAAACCGAAGGAUACGAUUUCAGUAUCUUUGUUGUCUACUUUAGAGGCAAGGUACCCUUCUAGCUGUUUAACAGUUUCCUGGCCAUGAGUUGUGCUCAUGCUUGAAAAUAAGUCAUCUUCAUCUGAAGUACUUGAUCCAUUGGCUUCCUCCAGAUGUUCCUUGAUGUAGUCAAGUCCUAAUAUACAACAUAUAUUGGGACAGAACAGAAAUCAUGUUAUAUAAAUCAUAGGGAAAUUCCGGUGUACAGUACAGAGGAAAGUAAUGAGCUUAUUUGAAGCAACAUGCAUAGAGUUAUGGAUAGGCAGCUAAAGCUGACCUAUGAGGGCAAAGAGCCAUCGGGUUCUAUGCCGCAUUAGAUAAGCUUUACUUCCCUGGCCACAACUAGGUCUAGGUUGUGCCAAAUUUCCUAGUUCUUUUUCCUGAACAUGAACAGCAUUUAGGCCCCGUUCACACGAAGCCGAUUUCAUGGCGAAACCGCAAAGGUCUUGUACGGUUCGGCCUUCCGUACACACGAAGCCGGCGAAUCCACUGACCGAAACCGCAAACUUCUGAAACCACCCUCGGAGGUGGUUUCAAAUCUACCCGGUUUCGUUUUGGAUUCGUGUGUACGCCUGAAACCGCAAACCAUGACGUCAUCGCCCCACCCCUCGACCUCCGAGCCAAUGGCUCUUAAGCCCGCGGAGUCUCAGAAAUCACAUGCGAGCAUGCGCAUAAGGGCAGCCUCUUUAUGCGCAUGCUCGCCUCUUCUUCUUAUUUCAUUUCUUCUGGAUUUCUGUACCAGAAGCAGCGCCCCUUAUGGGCCUGGAAUUUGUACUACAGCGUUUCUACAGAUCUACCCGGUUUCGCUUGGCAUCGUCUUUACGGAGAUACUUCGAAACCGGAUAGAUCGAAACCGUAACGGUUUCGCCCGUUUCGGCUUCGUGUGAACGGGGCCUUAGUGUCCUUGAACAAUAAGGCUAUGGGGUUCAUCUAUAUCAGUGGUUCUCAACCUUUUUUGAGCAAACGCCCCCCUGACCUUACCCUGAUCCUCUGCCAUUAUAAAAAAAAAAAAAAAAAACUAACAACCCCACUCACACUCGUUAUAUUGCAUCGUUUUUCAUUGAUUUUGCGUUGGUCACUAAUAGCAAUGAAUGCCCUCUGAGUCGGUUUUGGUGCAAAAAAUAUUUAUGACAUGCAAUAAAACUUCCAGAGCGAGAGAGCGAGAAAUUAUUGGAUUGAACAUUCAUUCACCGUGACCGCGGUGCGGGCACUCCCGCGACUCCCGGCCGCUACGUCUCCCGUCGUGCCGCGGCACCCUGCGGCCCGGGCACCGUGACCUUGGGCACCGCGACCACUCCCGCGUCUCCCUUGACUCCCGCCAUGCCCCGUGAACGAAUUAAUGAAUGGCCCAGGAACCACGGGCACCGCGGCCCAGGCAAAGCGGACUCCACGAAAACAGAUCGCACGCAGAGGCCUAAUAAGGCCUAUAUAUUUUGUAUUUGAAAUACAUAAUUGUUAAAUAUGAUCAGAUGGUCUUACAUCUAUUUUGUUCUUGGUCAAUAUGGGUUCAUACAGGCCAUAUACUUUUACAAACGGCACACAUUAACUACCUUCAUGUAUUUUAUAUGAAAUUUUAAGGGAGUUGAAUUGUGUAUGACAGGGAAUACAUCUUAAUAAUAUGGGGGGACCCAUGGUUUUUGCAAAGUCCUCCAGAAAGGCGAUUUCAAUUGAACUCAACCUGGUAUAAACAUAGAAUAUAAAGAACACUUUUAAGUAGGGGUGUAACGGUACACAAAAAUCUCUGUUCUGUACGUACGUCAGUUUUGAGGUCACGGUUCGGUUCAUUUUCGGUACAGUAAGAAAUCAAAAUGUUAAAUAUAAAUGCUUCAUAACAUGUGCUUCAAGUUGUUCAUAACACACUUCUGUGCUUUUUACAAUAGGAACAUUAGAAAAUACAAAGCUAGAAUUCUGCUCAAAAAUAUAAAGAAAUUCUGAAAUGUAGAAAUAAAAAUAAAUAACAUUGGCUCGGACAGUUUUUAAAAAAAUAUAUUAUCUAAUGUGCAACAAUGAACAAUUGCAACACUAAACAGUUUCAAGUUGUUGCUCAGAUUAAUUAAUCUUUAGCCCUGAUGACUUUCACUCAAUCUUAAUGUUUUUUGCCAGAAAUAUCAGCUUAUCCACAUUAUCUGCAGGAUAAUAAUACCCAAAAUUUGAGUGUACAUACGAUGUACCCUACAUGUUACUCCCGUAUACCACAAUGCAAUGCGGUCGUGUUUUUCCGGAGGAGAAGAAGCUGAAUAACCGCAAAAACGAAUAAAUUUAAUGUGGAGUCUCCGGCUUUCGUUUUAGAAAUGUCAACAAUUUAUUUGGGAUUUAACAUAGAAUAUUUAACAUUCAAAAUUAUUAAAAAAAAAACGAACAAAGGAAUGUAACAUUCAAAAUCAAUACAACCUCCAGCUUUCCUCGUGAGUGCCCGGUUUGUUAACAUGAUGUGGGUGCAUCUGUCUGCGUCACACAAAUACCCGGCGCAUUUACUGACGCAAAUUACGUUUAGAAAUGUUCAGCGUAGUGUCUUAAUUCUCGUUUGUUCGUUCCCUAAAUAGUGCACUAUAUCAUGACAAUAUAUAGGUAAUAGUGAGUGAGUGAAUAGGGAACGAUUUUGAACACAGCUACGGUGUGUGUAACUGCAUGUGCGGCCGCAGCAUUUUCCACACAUGCGGUCCUCUACCUAAUGUGUCCGCAUGGAAACUCGUUCGGUACGCCUCCGUACCGAACCGAGCACCCCGUCACGAAACGGUUCAAAUACAUGUCAAAUACAAAUACAUGUACUGUUACAUCCCUACUUUUAAGUCUUGUCUGUGUAUGUGAGUGGUGUCACUGCUCGGACUAUAAUUGUCCUCCAUUUCCCCUUACUUAAGGUAACGGAAUAGUUAAGCAAUAUUUUACAAUAUUACCUGCAUAUAUAUAUAAAAAAAAAAUACACUUGCAUUGGCAACUUCAGUGCUGUGCAUACAGUUCUCAAGGCCCCUUAUCCUUCAUCUUUGAUUCUUUCAAAAGAGAGAAAUAAUGAGUUCCAUCGGGUGUCAUUUGGACGGAUCAGUUUUUAUUUUGCAUGUUUCCUCUAUCAUGUCUGAAGCAGUGGAGGAUCGAGAUGUCUUGUUCCAUAAGCCACUGCAUUUUGCAAAAGCUGAUCGUGACAGUCUUUUAUAGGAGUCAUUGGAAUUGGCCUUGGCUGCAUCAACUGGAACUGGGUUUUCAGCUUUACUUUUUCGAGGGACUGUGAUGGCAUUGUAUCUUGCCAAGUGACUUGAAUGCUUUCUCUGGAAAGAAAGAGAAAAAAACACAUGAACAUCAUAUCUUCACAGCAAUAUAUCAAUUAUUUCAUAAAUGUAUUUGAAUCUGAAUAACUAGCUAGCCCAUCAAUAGCAAACAGGCUACUGUUCAAGUAGCUACCCAUCAUACCUUUAAUGUUAAUUGUUAACCUAGUCAAAUAGAAGCUAAAUAGCCGCGUUUACAUGGACACUUCUGAUCCGAUUCAAUUUCUAAUCGGAAUAAAUCUAUUCCUAUCAUGCAUCCGGAUGUACUGUACAGGGGUUUUUCUAGAAAAAAAAAGUAGCAGGGAGCAGACCCCUGCGCAAAGCCGAGGGAGCAAUGCGACCGAGGCGGGGGAUGGUGUGGAAGGGGGGUCUCCCCCUUCCACGGCGCGAAGCCUUUGAAAAAAUAAUGAUUCAAUGGUACAUUCUGAGGCUAUCUUAGAGAGAAAUUCUCGCAAAACUCUUGAUCAACACUCAGCAUUUGUUUAUUUCUGUCGUUCAUUGAAACCGCUUUGUGCAGAGAGAACUGGAAUGGUCUUAUAUACUUGCUUAGCAUCUUAGCGCCUAGACCAAAAACCCAUUCAAAUACAUAGUAGCUAGCUAGCUAGCUGCUAAUAACUUUAACGUUAGCAUGUCGACUCGGUCUGGGAAACUCCAAUUCGGAUCGGAAUAUUUUUGGAGUAAUUAUAAGUUAUUUGAGGAUCAGACACAUUGUCAGGUGGUGGUGUUGGGAUAUUUUCGCGGAGAAAAGAUCGUUUUGAGAAAUAGUGUAUGUUGUACAGCAGCAUGUAAGUACAGAUCCAAGUCUGACAGGUUCAGUCGGCAUUUCGGUAGGAUGGCGCACGCCGGGAGUAUCGGGGCGCAGCGCCCCUGUUCCCUUGUUUAGAAAAAACCCUGCUGUAUACGGUAUAUGGAAUUGACAAAAGUGGUAAGCGUACAUCCGUAUCUCUCUCGCACACAACCGUUAUGUUGGUCUGGACUUAUUUGAUAUAUGUAAGGGAUAAUGUUGUACAGAACGCAGCAGGUCAUUAUCGGGAAAAUAAGCCCAGACAGGGCGACACCCAGACGCGAAGCGGAGGUGUCUUGCUUCGCCCUGAAGGGUAUUAUUUUGCCUUGGUGUAAUGAGCUUGCUGCUAGUCUGCAGUUUCCUAGCUUAAUCUUGCACAAUGCAACCGAUGUCCAUGUUUAUUGUUAACACAAGUAUGAGUGUGUAUCCAGUUUGCUUCAAACGACAGGUAUAUCAGCCUUGAGUUGGUUUCACAGUCGAACUGAAAAUUACGUGCCUCUAUGUGUUUCUUUAGAUUCAAUGGCGUAUUCUUGAAUGAGGAAAUUGUAUGCUUCUGAGGCGGACACAGAAGGCACUUAAAAAUGAAAGUCUUUUUUUUUUUUUUCACGAUUUCCAUAUUGUGUUGUAAUGCAAGCUGCAUAUAUUAUUGCAUUGUUCAUAGAAAGUCAUAUUUUUGACAAAAGCUUUCUCGCUAAUAAAAUAUUAGAUGAGUGGAUUCAU